CGUUAAUUAAAGCGAGAUAAGUCGUAACAUAGUAGGUGUACUGGAAAGUGUGCCUAGAAAUU
rnacentral:rRNA from 1 species